UACAGAGGUCCCAAGCGUUGUUCGGAUUUACUGGGCGUAAAGGGUGCGUAGGCGGUGGGGUAAGUUUGAGGUGAAAGCUCCGGGCUCAACCCGGAAACUGCCUUGAAAACUAUCCGGCUAGAGGGUUGGAGGGGAGACUGGAAUUCUCGGUGUAGCAGUGAAAUGCGUAGAUCUCGAGAGGAACACCAGUGGCGAAGGCGGGUCUCUGGACAACACCUGACGCUGAGGCACGAAAGCCAGGGGAGCAAACGGG
rnacentral:rRNA from 1 species